CAAUAGCGUAUAUUAAAGUUGUUGCGGUUAAAAAGCUCGUAGUUGGAUUUCUGCCGAGGACGACCGGUCCGCCCUCUGGGUGAGUAUCUGGCUCGGCCUGGGCAUCUUCUUGGAGAACGUAGCUGCACUUGACUGUGUGGUGCGGUAUCCAGGACUUUUACUUUGAGGAAAUUAGAGUGUUUCAAGCAGGCUUACGCCUUGAAUACAUUAGCAUGGAAUAAUAAGAUAGGACCUCGGUUCUAUUUUGUUGGUUUCUAGAGCUGAGGUAAUGAUUAAUAGGGAUAGUUGGGGGCAUUCGUAUUUAACUGUCAGAGAUGAAAUUCUUGGAUUUGUUAAAGACGGACUACUGCGAAAGCAUUUGCCAAGGAUGUUUNCAUUGA
rnacentral:rRNA from 1 species